UAGAGCUAAUACACGCACAAAAACUUCAACUGAAUUGGUUGAAGUGCUUUUAUUAGAACAAAAACCGAACGGCGUUUGACGAAUGUUGAACGUCGAAACUGUUUGGUGAAUCUGAAUAACUAUUUCUGAUCGCAUGGUCUAGCACCGGCGACAUCACUUUCAAGUGUCUGCCUUAUCAACCUUCGAUGGUAGUCUAUGCGACUACCAUGGUGAUAACGGGUAACGGAGAAUCAGGGUUCGACUCCGGAGAGGGAGCCUGAGAAACGGCUACCACAUCCAAGGAAGGCAGCAGGCGCGCAAAUUACCCACUCCCAGCUUGGGGAGGUAGUGACGAAAAAUAACGAGACGAUUCUCGUUUGAGAAACGUUAUCGAAAUGAGUACGCUUUACACACGCUAACGAGUAGCAAUUGGAGGGCAAGUCUGGUGCCAGCAGCCGCGGUAAUUCCAGCUCCAAUAGCGUAUAUUAAAGUUGCUGCGGUUAAAACGCUCGUAGUUGAAUUGUGGUCUUAGACAACAGUCCCCCUACAAAGGUGUGGCACGGUUGCUCGAGAUCUUCAUUCGUGGUUGCUGUUGUUGCUCUUCAUUGAGUGGUCAAUGGUGCCCUCGAGAUUUUACUUUUGAAAAAAAUUAAAGUGCUCCAAAGCCAGGUUGGGAUGCCUGAAUAAUGGUGCAUGGAAUAAAUAAAAUAACAAUUCUCCGGUUUCUAUUUUUGUUUGGUUUUCCAACC
rnacentral:ncRNA from 1 species